GGGUGCAGCAGAUGGAGCCGACCCUGUGGCACACACCUGCAGGUCCAGGUACACGUGGCUGACUGGCCGUGAUCCCAGGGACCCUCCUGCCUCUGCCUCUCCGGGGCUGGAACUACGUGGCUUUUGGGGAUUAAACUCAGAUCCUCAAGUCCGAUCUACAAUCUCGUGGCUGAAUGCAACAUCUUCUCCUGGUCCGGGAAAUGAAUCUUUGGAUUCAAUCUUUGAUUCCACUGUGUAUCUGGGUCACAUUUUCAUUAUCUGUUCAUCACCCGAUGAUCCUCUAGAAUGAGUCCAUUUCCAGCUGCUGGGAGCCAUGGAGCAGCAGUGAACAUGGACGUGCAAGUGUCGCUGUGGC